UAUAAAAGCUCAUUCUUUCAGACACAACUUUCAAUUUCAACCAUGUCUUUCUACACUAGCUUCAUUUUAUGCCUCGUCAUUGCUGCUGUGGGUUUAGUAGCCGGCAGUCACGAAAAUGACACCAAAGGCUGCGACUGCGCCGCCAACCAGAAUUGCGCCAAAUGUACUCUUGGUGGCGCCACUAUUGCCAGCUGCCACGGCUGUGGGGAGGGCCACGGACAACAUGUUACAUGCCAUUGGGUGCAUAUUGCCCCAGGCUGCGCCGCCCCUCCUUAAGAAAGUUGAAACUAUCCCGAAGACGAACCUUUAUAAGUUAAUAAUACAUGUGUGUAUGAUGUA